rnacentral:rRNA from 1 species
GGAGCUUGCUCCCUGGGUGGCGAGUGGCGGACGGGUGAGGAAUACGUCGGAAUCUGCCUAUUUGUGGGGGAUAACGUAGGGAAACUUACGCUAAUACCGCAUACGACCUACGGGUGAAAGCGGAGGACCUUCGGGCUUCGCGCAGAUAGAUGAGCCGACGUCGGAUUAGCUAGUUGGCGGGGUAAAGGCCCACCAAGGCGACGAUCCGUAGCUGGUCUGAGAGGAUGAUCAGCCACACUGGAACUGAGACACGGUCCAGACUCCUACGGGAGGCAGCAGUGGGGAAUAUUGGACAAUGGGCGCAAGCCUGAUCCAGCCAUGCCGCGUGUGUGAAGAAGGCCUUCGGGUUGUAAAGCACUUUUGUUGGGGAAGAAAAGCGUCCGGUUAAUACCCGGGCGUCAUGACGGUACCCAAAGAAUAAGCACCGGCUAACUUCGUGCCAGCAGCCGCGGUAAUACGAAGGGUGCAAGCGUUACUCGGAAUUACUGGGCGUAAAGCGUGCGUAGGUGGUUUGUUAAGUCUGAUGUGAAAGCCCUGGGCUCAACCUGGGAAUGGCAUUGGAUACUGGCAG